CUCAUCUCUCUUUCUCUGUCUCCCUCCUCUUCCUUUUUUCCUUCCUUCUAAGAAGGCAAUUCUUGCUCAUGCUAAAUUAGGGAGCCCUAAAGACUAGCUCUCAAUCUAAUGAUCUUUGCACAAACAACCUUCCUCCUCAUUCUGUCCACUGUGGCUAUGUGGUCUCCAAUUUCAUCUACUUUAAACUAGACAUUUGAGGAUUUCUUGUCUAACAUUUUAUGUGAUUUUCAUGUUUAUAAUUAAUUAAUGUGAUAUUUCUUUUACUUUUCAAAGCCAUGAAUGACCCUUAUUCACUUCAUAAUUAAUUUCUCAUUAAUUUUGUUUUUACAAUGUUUAACAUUAACUAGUAGAAUUAGUAAAAAGGAAUGGCCCCACACCAGAUCUUAGAGCACUGAGCCUUACAUUCUAAAAACUAUAUUUCCUCCUGUUUAUUAUUAACAUUGAUUUACCUUGUUUUAGCUGUUAAUCUGACUAUGAGAACAUGGUCUGAUAUAUGAUCACUUGGGUUGUUUUUCAGAAAAGAGAUGAUCAUUCCACAUCAAACAAACCUCCAUUUGUAACUAUAAGUCCUCAGGACUUUUCCUUGGCAUGAGAAGUGGAUAUGGUAAAGUCCAAGUGACUCCCUGGCCGGAACUGGUUUUGACAUGGGUCACAUGAUGAGGAAUCUAGGUCUACAGAGGGGUCCAGAUUAGAAGCAACCAAUACCAAUGAAGCAUCCUAUCCAUAAAAGGAAGAUUUGGUGGCAGUGUUGGAAUCUGAAAUGAACUUCUGGUGGCAUUUGGGGAUAAUGAGAAACAGGCAUGACAACCCACGAAGCCUUUUGAGUACUUACAGUUUCCUAGGGUUGUUGGACAACACUGGAAACACUGGUUAUAUUACCAAGGCUUGGACAGGAAUGUCAUAUUUGAGAGACAUGCAUAGACUCAGAUAUGAGCAGACAGCUUUAAGGAUCUAAGGUUGACUUUAUGGAGCCAAUAGAGCCCAGUGGAAAUGUUGGCCUGAAAUCUCGCUUACAGAGUUCCCAGAAGCCUUACCAAGUGAGUAAAGAAUGUCACUUCCUGGCAGGUGCAGGAACCUCAGGAUAUUUUGGGAAACUCAAGAAGAAGAAUGCACCCCAAUCUACAGGCAUUGCAGACAAGUCUGAUGACAAAUAUUUGGCUUAGAUUCUGGAGUUAGGAGGCUAUUAAAAAUUCAAUCUAGAGAUUCCUUAUAAAAUGUUCUAGCAAGACCUAAAUGUGAAACAGGAAACCAUCAAAAUCCAGCAAAAGAAAACAGGCAGUAAUCUCUUCGACCUCAACUGCAGCAAUU